rnacentral:rRNA from 1 species
UACGGAGGGGGCAAGCGUUAUUCGGAAUUAUUGGGCGUAAAGGGCGCGUAGGCGGCUAGAUGUGUCAAAGGUGAAAUCCCUCGGCUCAACUGAGGAACUGCUUUUGAAACUGUCUGGCUUGAGGCCGGGAGAGGGUAGCGGAAUUCCCAGUGUAGCGGUGAAAUGCGUAGAUAUUGGGAGGAACACCAGUGGCGAAGGCGGCUACCUGGACCGGUUCUGACGCUGAGGCGCGAAAGCUAGGGGAGCAAACAGG